GACGAACGCUGGCGGCGUGCCUAACACAUGCAAGUCGAACGUGAUUGGAAGCCUGCUUCCAUGAAAGUGGCGCACGGGUGAGUAACGCGUAGAUAAUCUACCUGAUGAUCCGGGAUAACACUUCGAAAGGGGUGCUAAUACCAGAUAAGCCCACGGAGUCCUUGGACUCUGCGGGAAAAGGGGGGGAUCGCAAGACCUUCCGUCAUCAGAUGAGUCUUCGUACCAUUAGCUAGUUGGUAGGGUAAAGGCCUACCAAGGCGACGAUGGUUAGCUGGUCUGAGAGGAUGAUCAGCCACACUGGAACUGAGACACGGUCCAGACUCCUACGGGAGGCAGCAGUGGGGAAUUUUGCGCAAUGGGGGAAACCCUGACGCAGCAACGCCGCGUGAGUGAUGAAGGCCCUUGGGUCGUAAAGCUCUGACAGAGGGAAAGAAAUGCAGAGUGGCUAAUAUCCACCUUGCUUGACGGUACCCUCAAAGGAAGCACCGGCUAACUCCGUGCCAGCAGCCGCAGUAAUAC
rnacentral:rRNA from 1 species